rnacentral:rRNA from 1 species
UUGGAGGGCAGUCUGGUGCAGCAGCCGCGGUAAUUCCAGCUCCAUAGCGUAUAUUAAGUUGUUGCAGUUAAAAAGCUCGUAGUUGAAUUUCGGGAUCAAUUUGUCGGUCGUGCCUCGGUACGUACUGCAUUAUUGAUUUCUCCCUUCUGAAGAACCGCGAUGUCAUUAAUUUGGUGUCGUGGGGAAUCAGGACUGUUACUUUGAAAAAAUUAGAGUGUUUAAAGCAGGCGCACGCUUGAAUACAUUAGCAUGGAAUAAUGAAAUAGGACGUUUGAUUCUAUUUUGUUGGUUUCUAGGAUCGACGUAAUGAUUAAUAGGGAUAGUUGGGGGCAUUAGUAUUCAAUUGUCAGAGGUGAAAUUCUUGGAUUUAUUGAAGACUAACUACUGCGAAAGCAUUUGCCAAGGAUGUUUUCAUUAAUCAAGAACGAAAGUUAGGGGAUCGAAGACGAUCAGAUACCGUCGUAGUCUUAACCAUAAACUAUGCCGACUAGGGAUCGGAUGAUGUUAAUUUUUUAAUGACUCAUUCGGCGCCUUACGGGAAAC